rnacentral:lncRNA from 1 species
CUCCAUUAGAAAUGAUUUGGUUGAUCUCGUUGCUGAGGAUGGCCUGGUCCAUCAGAACUGGUCAUCAUAUAGUAUUGUUGUUGAAGUAUAUAAUGAUCUCCUGGUCCUGCUCAUUUCACUCAGCAUCAGUUCGUAUACACAUAUAUAUUCUUAUAAAGAAUUUAUAAAAAAAAUUUUUCUUGUUGUUAGUCAUAUUCAUGACCCUAUUUGGACUUUUCUUAGCAAAGACACUGAAGUAGUUUGCCAUUUCCUUCUCCUGAUCAUUUUACAGACUUGUCCAGGAUCACACAAUUAAUAAGUGUCUGAGACCAGAUUUGAUAUCAGAAAUCCAAAUGCAAAAAAUAGUAAGAUAACACAUAUAUAGCACAUAUGUACCUAUAUACUCAGAAGGAUUAGUCUUCCUGACUUUAGGUCCCAUUCACAGUGUCACCCUGCCCCACGACAUACAACUACAAUAAUGUAAAUGGAAACAACAACAAGACAAAUAAAAAUAAAUAUUUUGAAAUGAUAGUGAACUAAACUUGAUCCCGAUAGAAGAGAUAUCAAAAUGCAAUUCCCUGCUUUGCAAACAUGGAGGAUUUGGAAUGUGAAACGCUACAUAUAAUGUCAGACCUUGUUGGUGGGUUAGCUAGUUUUGUUGAACUAUUUCACUUUUUCAUUUUUUACUAUGGGAAUGAAUCUCUGGCAAGGAAUAAAGAUAUGUUGAUGAAUAUAUGUGGUGUAAAAACGAAAUAUACCAAUAAAAAUUAGAAAAUUAAAUUUCAAAAUAAUUUUUAAAUGAAGAUGUUAGAUGACAUGUCUUCUGUAAUAUCUUUUGGUCUUUUCCUCUUUUUUGAGAAUACUAUAAAUUUAAAUUAGUGGCACACAAAAGAGCAAGAUGACUUUAUUAAGCAAAUAAGCUCUAUUCUACCUUAAAAAGUGAAACUGGGAGUCAAAGGGAAAAGGGGAGGUAUUGAAAGUAGGCAACCCAAAGGAGGACUAUCCUCUAUUUAAUAAGCAAUCAAUGUUGUAGGGGAACAAGCCCCAAACUAACUGAACACUGCCUUAGAAAUCAGAGGACCCAAUUUAAAUCCCAAUUCUAGCACUUACUACCUGAGAAACUCUGAGAAUAUCACAUCAGUGUAAUUUUCUGAAGUUUUAAUUUUUUCCUCAAUAAAAAUCACUGGAUAGGAUCAAAGUUGAGCUUAAAGUCCUUCCUAGCUCCAAUCUACAAUCAAUUAAAUAAAUAAAAUUAAAUAAACAUUUAAUAAUGUUUAUUUAAUUUUAGAACAACCACUGUGUGCUAGAUUUCUAGCAAUACAAAGGCAAAAUCAAGAUAGCCCCUGCCCUGUAAGAGCUAACAGUCUACUGGGGAAAAACAACAUAUGCAUCCUCAAAUGGCUAAGUAACCUCAUAAAUAUAGAUGUUCCCCACAGUGAUACAGAUGACUACUCCUGCCUGUUUUCUCAUAUUUUGUUAGAUCUUAUCCACAUCCUUUCACAAACUCAACAUAGGAGAUUCACUCAAAAUUCAGGAUACCUUCUUUGAUUUCACUAGACAUUUCACUUGACACUUGACAUUGUACCAGGGGAACAAUUUAGUUUCUCAUCUAUCAUCCUUUACUCAUGCCAGGUGACCAGUUCAUGAUUUCUUUCCCUUCUUAGUACUAUGCCUGGCAAAUAGCAGACAUUUAGAAAAUUAAAAUAAAAAAUUCUUGUUAAGUAAUUUCUAAAGGAAGAGCAUAGAUCUAAUAUAAAUGAAUGACAGUUUGUUAACAAUUAGGAAAUCCAUAGAACACAAUGAAAGGCAACCAUAGAAUGGGAAAGGAGUACCAGUCUUUGAAUUAGACAGCUAAUGAUAGAGAAUCAUGGGGGUAAAUUAUUUGAUCCUAUUUGGACUACCUAACUCACAGGGAAUAAUAUAAGGAAAAUACUUUAUAAACUAUGAAGCACAUGUAAAUGUGAACUGCUGUCACUAAUUCUAACCUUUCAUCAUCUCUAGUCAGCUGUAGCACCACAAGAUGGAAUAGAUGGUGCCCCAGGAACAAGUCCUAUAUCAAGAGGUCUACAGCUAAGCUCUGCCCUUUCAUUGUGCUUAGGCUCACUGCAGCUGUCAUCACAUCCCUCCUUGAGCUUUAUGGAAAGCACAUCAUCCAUAGUUUUUUAUCCUCCCCACCCACAGAUGACAUUUAUAUCUUACAUUGCUACUGUAACACAGAACUUACAAAGUCCUUCUACAUGCAUUAUCUCAUUGAAACUUAUUAUACUCAUGAUAGUAUCUCAUAAUACUUAGUGAUAAAACAAGUGUGAUCACCUAUAAUUUGCAGAUAGAGAAAUUGAAGUUUAGAGAGGGCUAAGAGAUUUUUUUUAUGAUUAUAUAACAAUUCAGAGCUCAAUUUUAUAAGAUCAAAGGUCUGGAGUUUGAAAAUAUCUUAAAGUAUAUCUAGUUUGACAGCUUCAUUUUAUAAAUAAGGGAAAUAAAGAUCCAUUAAGCUAAAUGACAGUCAUAGUCACAUAAGAACUGAGUGUGAAGAGCACCUAGUGAUACCAAAUGCUUGGCUUUUUAUUAUUAUUAGACGUCAAUCAAUAGGAGUCACUUUCAAAUGAUUUGGUUCUGUUAUUUUGGGUAGGAAGCUAAGGGAAGGGAAUGGAGGAAGAGAACAACUCUUAAGACUCACAUAAGCUGCCGAAAUUCCCAGUCACAUUUUCUACUGUCAGAGAGUAGAAAGAGCAACAUUUAGAGAGCAGUAAGUCCAGCAGAGAGCAGCAUGAUGACAUCAAUAGAAGACAUCAGCAGCUUUGUAGUGUCAUGGGCAUAAGUUGUCCAUCCAAGGCUAUGCCCUGGUCACACACAUUCCCUGAAUAUCUUCCUUCAUGUAGGUGUGCUGAUCACAUAUGUUCCACAUAUGUGGAUGCCAGAGUUUAUGGGGAAAUGUUCUAUUGUUAUUUUAUUUACAUUGCUACUUAAUUAAAUGUAUUUUUAUAAACAAUAUCCAAUGUUUAAUUGAUCAAACACAUUGGUAGAGAUCCACAAAGCCUGAAGAAGACUCCUAGAAAAAUGCCUAAAACCUAAUUGAGCAUCAGAGUAAUGGAAGAACCCCAGAUGUUCUCCUUUAUAGGUUAAAACAAAAGAUCUGAUGCAUCUCUGAGUCCUCUUGUCCGUUAACCAACUUUAAAUAUUCGUUUUUAAAAGAUGACAAACCAGGAGCAGUUAGGUGGUGCACUGGAUAGAGCAUCAU